ACCGUCCUAAUGUGUUCGUCGGAUCACUGAUCGUUUUGACCGAACAGUUUAUGAUCCGGGAGCUCGGGGUUUCCAAGCGGCGUGCACGCCUCUUCGUCACAGGGGAAGCGCAAACCUUGGAACAGGGCACCCACCUAUGGGAGAGCGGGUUCAAAACGAAGGCAUCGACGGCACGAUUGGGACUGGC
rfam:Geobacillus sp. CAMR12739 Contig47, whole genome shotgun sequence.